CAAUUAAUACUAAUUUCAUUUUCAUAUAACAUAUGUGUACCUUCAGAUUUUAAAGGAACUAGAUAAAUCUUCAAAGACAUUGGUGGAAGGGAAAUGAAAAUGGUGGUGUUCUAGAUUCUCUUGGAUAUAAAGAGGGUUUCAGAGUUGAUGUUGAUGUUCCAGAUGACGCAUGGGCAGAGGCUCCAAGCUUCCAUGAUAUUCUUAUCUUAAAUACCGGCCACUGAGUGCUGGAAAGGACAGUUGCAUAGUGGGAUACAGGAUUUUCCUGAUGUAGUUAUUGUGUUCGCACAACAUGGUUGGUCAAGGUCUAGUACGUGAAGAUAUUUUAGUUAAAUCGAGAUGCCAGGGACGAGGAUAAAGGCGAUAUAGUCUUUUGGAGGUGUAGACCCAAAGCACUAUAAUUAGUGAAAAGGGAUACUGGCAGGUGAGUGACUGAAAUCAUUCUCAUCUGAAUAAUCAUAAGCUAGCUACGUAUUAUUAAAACUUAUUACACUAUUUUAUUUGUCAAAUGUUAAAUAAUGGUUUCUUGGUAGAAUGUUAGUGUAUGCUCCCUAUUAUUUGAUUUUUCAUAAUUGUUUGGGGAAUUCAGAAACAUUGCACCAAUUGCAUUUCUGACAACUAUAGGCACCGUUUAUUUUUAUUGAAUGUUAGAAAUCAUGAAACCCGAUUACCAGUGCAGAUGGACAGUCGCAUUUGAUUUCAUGAUUUGUUAAAAUUGCAAGUUCGAUCGUGGGAUUUUUGGGUUUGCGAGAUGGUUAACUUUAAGAGACACUGAUCCAUAAACUUAGAUUGCAGUAAAACUUGUA